rnacentral:rRNA from 1 species
AUUGAACGCUGGCGGCAGGCCUAACACAUGCAAGUCGAACGAGUGGCGGAAGGGUGAGUAAUGUCUGGGAAACUGCCCGAUGGAGGGGGAUCACUACUGGAAAAGGUAGCUCAUACCGCAUACCAUCGGAUGUGCCCUGAUGGGAUUAGAUAGGAGGUGGGGUAACGGCUCACCUAGGCGCCGCUCCCUAGCGGGUCUGAGAGGAUGACAAGCCACACUGGAACUGAGACACUGUCCAGACUCCUACGGGAGGCAGCAGUGGGGAAUAUUGCACAAUGGGCGCAAGCCUGAUGCAGCCAUGCCGCGUGUAUGAAGAAGGCCUUCGGGUUGUAAAGUACUUUCAGCGAGGAGGCGUUACUCACAGAAGAAGCACCGGCUAACUCCGUGCCAGCAGCCGCGGUAAUUC